rnacentral:snRNA from 1 species
GGAAGGGAGAGCAGUCUGCCUUGAACAUCUGUCACUCAUUGGUCACUAGUGUUGGCUGGGCAGGUGUCCCCUUCCUACCUUGCUGCUCUUUGUGCUUCACCCCUUAAAGCUGUGUGGUUGUUUAGAAAGGGCCACCUUCCCCAGUAGGGGAGGACUGUUGAUUGGUUGU